AGGGGGUGUGUCCACAAAGCAACGGACCUUUACCAUAAAUUAAUUAAUAAUUCAACUUGUUUGUCCAGUUCGUCAGUGAAUGCUUCGUUAAGCAAUUUGAGGAACUGUUCCCAAGAAUGUGCAAUAAUAAACUCUGCAUCAGAGGACAAUUAUGUGAGAGUACAAAUCAAAUACGCUGCUGAUGUCGUUUUGAAACUGGAACAUAAGAAGAACACAAAAUGUUCAUAUUCAUCUAAAGAUAUCAAUAUUGAUUGCAAAAUUGAUCAAAACAGAUUAGGGUCACUGCAAAGUUGCAUAGUUGGACGUUGUCUUUUAGAACAAAAAGAAAAGAAACAAGUCACGGAGACACAGGCCUAAAAAUAUGUUACCCUUGACAUUUACCAUCUAUUUUGUCAUGGUGUUAGGAUCAAUCCUUUAAUAUUU